ensembl:lncRNA
CAAUACAAUACAAACAAAUAUCUCAACAGUGGUGUCAUUCUUAUUGCAGUCUCAACCACACUCACGACAUGACAACGCAGCUGUGGUCUGCUGGUGACUUCAGAUGAGACGUGACUGAGGAGACGGCUCCUUUGAAGCCCUCGCCCAGACUCCCCGCCCACACACAGCACAGGCACGGUAGGACCGCGGGCUGGAUUUCAGAUGCUCACACAAGCACGAGCUAUUAGCCAUGCUCCAUGGGUUUUAUAGGCACUAGAAGAUAUCCUCCAAUAUGAACAUGUAGUAUAGCUGUGAGGACAGAGAGCCCCUGGAAGAUGCAGGCCUCUGCAGCACCAUGAGAUGCCAUCUCGGCCCUGUGAUGCGAGCCC